rnacentral:rRNA from 1 species
CCUACGGGAGGCAGCAGUAGGGAAUAUUCCACAAUGGGCGAAAGCCUGAUGGAGCAACGCCGCGUGCAGGAUUAAGGCCUUCGGGUUGUAAACUGCUUUUAUAUGUGAAGAAUAUGACGGUAGCAUAUGAAUAAGCCUCGGCUAACUCCGUGCCAGCAGCCGCGGUCAUACGGAGGAGGCAAGCGUUAUCCGGAUUUACUGGGCGUAAAGAGUUGCGUAGGCGGUUUUGUAAGCAAAUAGUGAAAUCAUGUGGCUCAACCAUACUGACUAUUAUUUGAACUGCAGAACUUGAGAGCGAGAGGGGUGAUUGGAAUUCCCGGUGUAGGAGUGAAAUCCGUAGAUAUCGGGAGGAACACCAAUGGCGUAGGCAGAUCACUGGCUCGUUUCUGACGCUAAGGCACGAAAGCGUGGGUAGCAAACGGGAUUAGAUACCCCGGUAGUCCACGCCGUAAACUAUGGAUGCUAGCUGUUUGGAGUAUCGACCCUCUGAGUAGCGAAGCUAACGCGUUAAGCAUCCCGCCUGGGGAGUACGAUCGCAAGAUUAAAACUCAAAGGAAUUGACGG